UACGGAGGAUGCAAGCGUUAUCCGGAUUUAUUGGGUUUAAAGGGUGCGUAGGUGGAAUGAUAAGUCAGAGGUGAAAGCUAGCAGCUUAACUGUUAAAUUGCCUUUGAUACUGUUAUUCUUGAGUGUAGUUGGCGUUGGCGGAAUGUGACAUGUAGCGGUGAAAUGCGUAGAUAUGUCACAGAGCACCGAUCGCGAAGGCAGCUAACGAAACUAUCACUGACACUGAUGCACGAAAGCGUGGGGAGCAAACAGG
rnacentral:rRNA from 1 species